GAUGAACGCUGGCGGCGUGCCUAACACAUGCAAGUCGAACGGAGUCCAGCCUUUAAGACCUUCGGGUCAAAGAGGGGAAGACUGAGUGGCGGACGGGUGAGUAACACGGGGGCAACCUGGCUCAUAGAGGGGGAUAACAGAGAGAAAUUUCUGCUAAUACCGCAUAAGCACACACUGCCGCAUGGCAGAGGGUGAAAAGAGAAUCGCUAUGAGAUGGACCCGCGUCUGAUUAGCCAGUUGGCAGGGUAAGAGCCUACCAAAGCGACGAUCAGUAGCCGAUCUGAGAGGAUGAGCGGAGACAUUGGGACUGAGACACGGCCCAAACUCCUACGGGAGGCAGCAGUGGGGGAUAUUGCACAAUGGGGGGAGCCAUGAUGCAGCGAGGACGCGUGAGUGAAGAAGUAUGUCGGUAUGUAAAGCUCUAUCAGCAGGGAAGAUAAUGACAUUACCUGAAUAAGAAGCCCCGGCUAACUACGUG
rnacentral:rRNA from 1 species